rnacentral:rRNA from 3 species
ACUUAAAUUGAAGAGUUUGAUCAUGGCUCAGAUUGAACGCUGGCGGCAGGCCUAACACAUGCAAGUCGAGCGGUAGCACAGAGAGCUUGCUCUCGGGUGACGAGCGGCGGACGGGUGAGUAAUGU